rnacentral:tRNA from 1 species
GCCCAGGUGGUGAAAUUGGUAAACACGCUAGGUUCAGGACCUAGUGCCCAUGAGGGCUUGCGGGUUCGAAUCCCGCCCUGGGCA